rnacentral:lncRNA from 1 species
AGGCUCCACUUUUUCUGGGGGUUUCUUAGGGAAAUUAUAUAAUAAUGCAUAAUGUUAAACUAUGAAGAAACUUCUGUGAAACCUCAGUGCAUUCUGUGGUAUAUUCUUAGAGAAAUACCCCAAGACUAUACCAAAGCCAAGAACUAUUCUUGGCCAUACCAGUUCAGGGGCAUCAGACGUUCUAAAAAGAGAGCUGUCUCUUCUCUUUGACCAUGUCACCUGAUGCUGGACCAGAGAUUCAGGAAUUUCAUAUCUAGCCUAUUUGUCCUUGACAGUUUUACUUGGUUUUUUUAAUUUGAGACAGGAUCUUGUUCUGUCGCCCAGGCUGGAGUACGCAUAUUUAUAUAUUGUAUCUAAACAGAUAUUCAAGCUGCAUUAUAAUAUAAUCAUAAAAAAACUGAUCUCAGUCUGUCUGUUAAGCCUUUGUGAGUCUUUGUGCCAUUGUUGGAGUAGUGCUAAUUAUCAAGCAAAGACAUGAU